rnacentral:rRNA from 1 species
AACGAACGCUGGCGGCAUGCCUAACACAUGCAAGUCGAACGAGACCUUCGGGUCUAGUGGCGCACGGGUGCGUAACGCGUGGGAAUCUGCCCCUUGGUUCGGAAUAACUUCGGGAAACUGAAGCUAAUACCGGAUAAUGACGUAAGUCCAAAGAUUUAUCGCCAAGGGAUGAGCCCGCGUAGGAUUAGCUAGUUGGUGGGGUAAAGGCUCACCAAGGCGACGAUCCUUAGCUGGUCUGAGAGGAUGAUCAGCCACACUGGGACUGAGACACGGCCCAGACUCCUACGGGAGGCAGCAGUGGGGAAUAUUGGACAAUGGGCGAAAGCCUGAUCCAGCAAUGCCGCGUGAGUGAUGAAGGCCUUAGGGGUUGUAAAAGCUCUUUUACCCGGGAUGAUAAUGACAGUACCGGGAGAAUAAGCUCCGGCUAACUCCGUGCCAGCAGCCGCGGUAAU